rnacentral:lncRNA from 1 species
UUAAGAGUUUAGCCUUAUUAUAUCUCAUAUAUAGGACUAUCUGGGGUCUCACAAUCUCCCCUCCUUUAAGCCCUGACGUCCUCGUCAGGCUAAGACUUAUAAGUACCAGGCGAUGUGAGACUCAUCUCGCUAGUCCGUCAUCCAGACCCUGGCUCAGCCGAGACUCAUCUCACACUUCCGGCUGGUAAUUGGCUCUGAUACCAAAUGUAACGACCCAGCCCACUAGCAACAAUAACUCGUUGGGCCCAACCACCGGCCCAAAAUGCUUAAGCCCAAUUAUUAUUAUUAGUGUCUAAGUCAGUCCUUCCAAUCACACACACAACCCAAGAUCACCAGGAGACUUGUCUCGCUAGCCCGUCAUCCAAACUCUGGCUCAGCCGAGACUCGCCACACAUGUCCAGCUGGUGAACCGGCUCUGAUACCAAAUGUAACGACCCAGCCCACUAGCAACAAUAACUCGUUGGGCCCAACAACCGGCCCAAAAAUGCUUAAGCCCAGUUAAGAGUUUAGCCCUAUUAUAUCUC